UACAGAGGUCUUAAGCGUUGUUCGGAUUCAUUGGGCGUAAAGGGUGUGUAGGUGGCGCGCUAAGUCGGGUGUGAAAUUUCGGAGCUUAACUCCGAAACUGCAUUUGAUACUGCGGUGCUUGAGGACUGGAGAGGAGACUGGAAUUCACGGUGUAGCAGUGAAAUGCGUAGAUAUCGUGAGGAAGACCAGUGGCGAAGGCGGGUCUCUGGACAGUUCCUGACACUGAGGCACGAAGGCCAGGGGAGCAAACGGG
rnacentral:rRNA from 1 species